AUUGAACGCUGGCGGCAGGCCUAACACAUGCAAGUCGAGCGGAGCGGCGGACGGGUGAGUAAUGUAUGGGGAUCUGCCCGAUAGAGGGGGAUAACAACUGGAAACGGUAGCUAAUACCGCAUACUAUUGGGGCGGCCGAUAUCGGAUUAGCUCGUUGGUGGGGUAAAGGCUCGACAAGGCAACGAUCCGUAGCUGGGUUGAGAGGAGGACGAGCCACACUGGGACUGAGACACGGCCCAGACUCCUACGGGAGGCAGCAGUGGGGAAUUUUGGACAAUGGGGGAAACCCUGAUCCAGCCAUGCCGCGUGUAUGAUGAAGGCCUUCGGGUUGUAAAGUACUUUUGGCAGAGAAGCGUGAUCUGCAGAAUAAGCACCGGCUAACUACGUGCCAGCAGCCGCGGUAAUAC
rnacentral:rRNA from 1 species